rnacentral:lncRNA from 1 species
GUGGCGCCUGGUGGGAGGUGAUUGCAUUAUGGGAGCAGUUUCUCAUGGUUUAACAAUACCCACCUUUGUGUUGUCACAGCAAGAGUGAGUUAUCGUGAGUUCUGGUUGUUUAAAAGUGUGUAGCACCUCCCUCCAUCUCCUGCUCUUCCUCUGGCCAUAUAGGAGGUACCUGCUUCCCCUUCACGUCUGCCAUGAUUGUAAGUUUCCUGAGGCCUCUCCAGAAGCAGAAGCUGCUAUGUUUCCUGUACUGUCUGCAGAACAGCAACAAGUGGGAAGGGGGAAACCGCUGUCUAUGGCUCUUGCAGCUAACAGGCCCAUGGAGAAGAGCAAAAUUUUGAUAAGAAGAUUUGAUAAGAAGAUUCCAGAGCUGCCUCCAUAUCCAGGUCAUUGUGCUGUGAAAUACUUGAGGAGUUAUAUAACUUUCAUGGACCUGGGCCACUCGCUAGUAACACAAGCUCCUGGGCCUCAUCCUCAAGCAACUGACUCAAUUAGACAAGGGCUGGAGAUAGAAAUCUGCAUAUUCAAUCAACAUCUCAGAUGAUCCUGACAUGUGGACAAUUCACUGGAAAAGAUAAUUCCAAAAUCAGCUCCAAAACCAGUUUGGAUCAGACAAAAGGAAUGUAAGAAUCGAGGAAGAAGGUACUUCUUGAAUUAAAAAACCUUUGGUAUACUGAAACUUUUUGAUGGUUGCUUAUGCCCAGAGCUUGUUACUGAAACUCCACUCAAAAUCAUUAAUCUGGAUUUCUAUUGCAAAUUUGCUAGGGUUGCUGCCCUCAUUUUCCCAAGCUUUAUUCCCAGGGCCCAAGCUUAGGUCCUAUGCUGAGGAGCCACAUCUGGACCUGGAAGUAGAUAGUAUGGGCCUUCACCUGUGGGCUGAGCUAUGAGGGGAUAGGGCCUGCAUUAGGGGCCAGGAGUGGUUAUCCAAUGAAGGAAGUCCCUGAAAGUGGACACAGAGCAAACCAAAAUCCAAGGGACCAUACAUGAGCGUGCUUGGGAGCCUCAGGGCAAAGCCAGGAGAGCCAUUGAGGCAGGGCGGUGAGUGGAAAUGGAGGGAGCUGUCAGCGACCCAGAACUGGCUGACAUUUCCCAGGCUCUGAAGCUCUGGUCUGCCUCACUGCACACCAGGAAGUGUGUAUCCCUCUGCAUUGGUUUCUUCUCUUGACACAGCACUCCUGCCUGUCGAGUUGCAGGAUUCAGCCUUAUCUCAUCUUACUUUGGGCAAAACUGGAAGCCCUGGCUCCCGACACGCGCCAGCGUAGCCUUUGCCUAUUUCUCUGACUUAAUGUCAUCUUUCUUCUUUACUCCUCUGUAUUAGUGUACUCCUCUCUUUUAGUCCGUAUCUCAGGUCUGCCCAGCCCUGGUACACUUUGACAUGGAUUUGUUUUCUGGGAAGUUCUUUACUUUACAACCAGAUGACUGUGUUGAAGAAGGACAAAAAGACAUUCCUCUCUGAUUUAGGCUAACCUGCUGGUAGUAGAUCUUAUAAAACUAUAGGCAAACAAUUUAAAGCUACCUUUUAAAGUCUCCACAUUUCUCCAGAAAAUACAAAUGCUUUCACAUACAACCCUGGAACAUUUCUUUCUCGUAACAUUUCCAAUCAUGCUUUUUUAUUUUAAUUAAACUCUGCCACUUAUCAAAAAGAAUUUAUACCAGCUUCCUAAUCAUUUUUGGAAUACCUGUCUUCCUAAUAAAUGUCUAACCUGAGAUACUUGCAGAAAUAUUAUAUUUUCUUCUCCACCUUUAUUCUAUUUAGAAUAAGUCAAGAAUAAUAUUUUAAUUUAGUGUAUUAAAUUGUUUCUUGCCAUAUUCUGUUUUUUUUUUUCAGCUGGCGCUAAAUUAAGUCUGCAAUUUGUGAAAACUUUUUUAAAAUAGUAAUUCAAAAUUCACAUAUAUUAUAAAACUAACAAAGUUUUUUAAAAAUUCGAAAUCAUGUGUUCAGUCUCACUUCAAAAGUGGCACAUAGUAAAUGCUCAAGAAAUAUUUGUUGAAUUAAUAAAAUGAAGGAAAUGAAAGUGUCAGGAGGUUAACCACUCAGCCACUAAAUUGCUUUAUGAUUUGGGGUUAGUUGGGUAACUUUGAGCCUCUGUUAUUUCUCUCACAAUAUCUUAUAAGCACCAAGUGCCAUAAAUAUUCAGGAAAUGCCUUGAAAACAUUAAGUUGCAAAUGUAAGUAAUGUAUUUUUUGCAGAAGCAGAGAGACUAGUUUCUUCAUGAGGGCUAAUAGCUGGCCUCUGUGUACCUCUUUUUCUUACUACAUGUGAGAUUACCUUCGAAUCUAUAUAUCAGCCACAAUGACAAUCUUGGCAUGAGGUUUUGCAGGAAUGCCAAGUGACAUGGGUCCAAGGGUCGUGGAUCUCAUGAGAAAUGGCUGUUGAGGACAAAGAGAUGCAAUUCUGUUGACCACAGUGCUCUUCUUCUGAUGUCAAAACUCCCGUUCCUGUUACUUCCACAAGAUCACUGUUUGCUCAUCCGGAUCAAGGCAGCAAACAUGCCCUGAGAGCAACCUGUGUCCACUUGAAAAAGAUGGACAGCAUCGUGCCUCACCUCUGUCUGUGAGUGGCAGACUGGAAAGGAACCGACCUGAGGUCUUUUCUUUCAUGCUGGGCUGCACACACCAUUUCUGUGUUCCCUGUUAUGGGCAAGCUGUGAUGGAAGGCUGAAAAACCUCACCACGGUGUGUUCAGUCAUUCAACCAUGCACAAACAAUUAGCUACUGCAUGAUAUGUGUCUUGCUCUUUAAAAAAAAAAAAAUCCAUUUCGUGUGGAUUCAGAUUCCACUUUCAAUUUUCAGUCGUGAUCUAGAAAUCUGCACAUAUGACUAUAAUAUUUAAAAGAUGAAUAUCAGAAAGAGAAAGCCUAUUAGAAGCUAACUUUGAAGAGACGGUCCAAAGGGAAAAAUAGGGGUGAUGGUUUGGAGAGAAAAAAGUUAUAGAUAAUGAGAAAAAGCUGAGAAGAGAGAUCCCUUUUUCAUGCUGUAUCAGUUAGCUAUGCUGCCUAACAAAUCACCCCAAAACCCAGUGACUUAAAACAGUGAGCAUUUAUUAUUUCUUGCUACUUUGCUCAUCAGCUGGGCUCACCUGCCAGUUUGUGCCAGGCUUACUUAUGCAGGUCAGGUAAGGCCAGGUUUAGGCCAUUGAGAGGCAGAUGUAGGAUGCCCUUACCCAUGUCUGUGGUUGGUUGGCUGUUCCUGAGGCAACAGACAGACUAGGCCAUGUGUCUCCCAACACCCAGCAGGCUAACCCAGGCCUGUAUAUAUGACUACGGAUUUCCAAGUGAGUAGAAGCAUACAAGGUCUUCGGAAGCCAGUGAUUGGGUUCAGAACAUGCCACCCCAUAAUAUAGCACCUUGGAAUUUGAGAAAACAGCAGAAGUAAGCAGGUCACUCUCACCUUCCUCUCAACGCUUCUCCCUUGAAGCUGACCUUCUCCUGAAGUAGAUCAUAAAAACUUCUUUCCAGAGGUGCCCUCCCUAUACCUGGAGGAAAGAAACAUUCUUAUCCUUGAGGACACGGAGAAAUCAAG